UACGUAGGGUGCAAGCGUUGUCCGGAAUUAUUGGGCGUAAAGAGCUCGUAGGCGGUUCGUCGCGUCGGCUGUGAAAACCUGAGGCUCAACCUCAGGCCUGCAGUCGAUACGGGCGGACUUGAGUGUUGCAGGGGAGACUGGAAUUCCUGGUGUAGCGGUGAAAUGCGCAGAUAUCAGGAGGAACACCGGUGGCGAAGGCGGGUCUCUGGGCAACUACUGACGCUGAGGAGCGAAAGCGUGGGGAGCGAACAGG
rnacentral:rRNA from 1 species